AUUGAACGCUGGCGGAAUGCUUUACACAUGCAAGUCGAACGGCAGCACGGACUUCGGUCUGGUGGCGAGUGGCGAACGGGUGAGUAAUGUAUCGGAACGUGCCCAGUCGUGGGGGAUAACGUAGUGAAAAUUACGCUAAUACCGCAUACGAUCUAUGGAUGAAAGCGGGGGAUCGCAAGACCUCGCGCGAUUGGAGCGGCCGAUAUCAGAUUAGGUAGUUGGUGGGGUAAAGGCCUACCAAGCCAACGAUCUGUAGCUGGCCUGAGAGGACGACGCGCCAAACUGGAACUGAGACACGGUCCAGACUCCUCCGGGAGGCAGCAGUGGGGAAUUUUGGACAAUGGGCGAAAGCCUGAUCCAGCCAUUCCGCGUGCAGGAUGAAGGCCCUCGGGUUGUAAACUGCUUUUGUACAGAACGAAAAGGUUUCUACUAAUACUAGGAGCUCAUGACGGUACUGUAAGAAUAAGCACCGGCUAACUACGUGCCAGCCGCCGCCGUAA
rnacentral:rRNA from 1 species